rnacentral:rRNA from 1 species
GACGAACGCUGGCGGCGUGCCUAAUACAUGCAAGUAGGACGCAGUUGCGAACGGGUGAGUAACGCGUAGGUAACUACCUAUUAGAGGGGGAUAACUAUUGGAAAAGAUAGCUAAUACCGCAUACUAGUAGAUGGACCUGCGUUGUAUUAGCUAGUAGAUAGGGUAAUGGCCUACCUAGGCAACGAUACAUAGCCGACCUGGUAGGGGGAGCGGACACACUGGGACUGAGACACGGACCAGACUGCUAAGGGGGGCAGCAGUAGGGAAUCAUCGGCAAUGGGGGGAACCCUGGCCGAGCAACGCCGCGGGAGUGAAGAAGGGUUUCGGGGCGUAAAGCUCUGUUGUUAAGGAAGCGGUACUUAACCAGAAAGGGACGGCUAACUACGUGCCAGCAGCCGCGGUAAUUC